rnacentral:lncRNA from 1 species
GCACCUCCCUCAACCAAUGCUGUUUGAAUGUUUGUCACCGAUGGAAUUAAUAUAUCUGUGGUUAGUGCUUUUGUUUUAAUAUGAUGUAUAACAAUUUUUUUAUGCUCCAUUAAUGGGCAUUAUGUUUUCUGGUCUGUGCGUCCGUCCGUUCUUUCGGUCGUCAUUCCGUCCGUCCGUUCGUCCCGCUUCAGGUUAAGUUUUCGGUUGAGGUUGUUUUU